rnacentral:rRNA from 1 species
CGAACGCUGGCGGCGUGCUUAACACAUGCAAGUCGAACGGAAAGGCCCUUCGGGGUACUCGAGUGGCGAACGGGUGAGUAACACGUGGGUGAUCUGCCCUGCACUUUGGGAUAAGCCUGGGAAACUGGGUCUAAUACCGAAUAUGAUCAUCGGCUUCAUGGUCGGUGGUGGAAAGCUUUUGCGGUGUGGGAUGGGCCCGCGGCCUAUCAGCUUGUUGGUGGGGUAAUGGCCUACCAAGGCGACGACGGGUAGCCGGCCUGAGAGGGUGACCGGCCACACUGGGACUGAGAUACGGCCCAGACUCCUACGGGAGGCAGCAGUGGGGAAUAUUGCACAAUGGGCGCAAGCCUGAUGCAGCGACGCCGCGUGAGGGAUGACGGCCUUCGGGUUGUAAACCUCUUUCAGCACAGACGAAGCGCAAGUGACGGUAGGUGCAGAAGAAGGACCGGCCAACUACGUG